rnacentral:rRNA from 1 species
UACGAAGGGGGCUAGCGUUGCUCGGAAUCACUGGGCGUAAAGGGUGCGUAGGCGGGGCUUUAAGUCAGAGGUGAAAUCCUGGAGCUCAACUCCAGAACUGCCUUUGAUACUGAAGAUCUUGAGUUCGGGAGAGGUGAGUGGAACUGCGAGUGUAGAGGUGAAAUUCGUAGAUAUUCGCAAGAACACCAGUGGCGAAGGCGGCUCACUGGCCCGAUACUGACGCUGAGGCACGAAAGCGUGGGGAGCAAACAGG